GACGAACGCUGGCGGCGUGCUUAACACAUGCAAGUCGAACGGAAAAGCCUCUUUCGGGGGGUACUCGAGUGGCGAACGGGUGAGUAACACGUGAGUAACCUGCCCUUGUCUUUGGGAUAACUUCCGGAAACUGGGGCUAAUACCGGCUAGGAGCUCCUGCUGCCUGGUGGGGGUUGGAAAGUUUCGGCGGUUGGGGAUGGACUCGCGGCUUAUCAGCUUGUUGGUGGGGUAGUGGCUUACCAAGGCUUUGACGGGUAGCCGGCCUGAGAGGGUGGCCGGCCACAUUGGGACUGAGAUACGGCCCAGACUCCUACGGGAGGCAGCAGUGGGGAAUAUUGCACAAUGGGUGGAAGCCUGAUGCAGCAACGCCGUGUGCGGGAUGACGGCCUUCGGGUUGUAAACCGCUUUCGCUCAUGACGAAGCUUUGUGUGACGGUAGUGGGUAAAGAAGCACCGGCUAACUACGUG
rnacentral:rRNA from 1 species